UUAAAAACUAGUAUGAACGGUUCAAUUAUUAUAUAUUAGUUUGUUUUAUAGUAUAGAAGAUUAUAGUUAAAGUAAGAAUACUUAGAUCAAUUAAGGGACGAUAAGACCCUAAAAGCUUUAUUAAAGGGGGUUUUUAGUGUUUAUAGAAACUAAAUAUACUGGGGCAGUAUUUUUAUUUAAAUUAAAUUGAAUUUAAAAGAUCCUUUAAAUUAAGAUUUCAUGGGUUAGUUACUUUAGGGAUAACAGUGCUAUAUAUUUGGAAAGAUCACAUAGAUAAAUAUGCUUGCAACCUCGAUGUUGAAUUAAAAUAUCUGUAUGAGGCAAAAUAUAUGAGAGAAAGUUUGUUCAACUUUUAAAUUUUUACAUGAUCUGAGUUCAAACCGG
rnacentral:rRNA from 1 species